rnacentral:misc_RNA from 1 species
UGUGGGAGCGGGCUUGCCCGCGAUAGCGGUAUGUCUGAUACGUGGAUGCCGGAUUUGCCACCAUCAUCGCGGGCAAGCCCGCUCCCACA